rnacentral:rRNA from 1 species
AUACGGAGGGGGCUAGCGUUGUUCGGAAUUACUGGGCGUAAAGCGCGCGUAGGCGGACCAGUCAGUCAGGGGUGAAAUCCCGGGGCUCAACCCCGGAACUGCCUUUGAUACUGCUGGUCUUGAGUUCGAGAGAGGUGAGUGGAAUUCCGAGUGUAGAGGUGAAAUUCGUAGAUAUUCGGAGGAACACCAGUGGCGAAGGCGGCUCACUGGCUCGAUACUGACGCUGAGGUGCGAAAGCGUGGGGAGCAAACAGGAUUAGAAACCCGAGUAGUCC